rnacentral:lncRNA from 1 species
UCCUCUCUUUAUUAUGUUCAAUCUGAACUGUAACAAAAUAUCUUGUAAUGUAUCUGAUAAUUUCGCCCUUGAUAAACCCUGCAAACACAUGUCUACUGUGACAGCUUUUACGCUCAAGAUAAAGGAAGACAUUUGUCGGUUUAAAGUGUGUUUUCACAUCCAAAAUAUUUUUACUAUAAAAUCUUGUUCCUUUGAAAAUAUUAACAUCAAGAAAUAUUAUUUCUUUAGAUGAGAAUUCUAGUGUGAAUUUC